rnacentral:rRNA from 1 species
GACGAACGCUGGCGGCGUGCUUAACACAUGCAAGUCGAGCGGUAAGGCCCUUUCGGGGUACGACGAGCGGCGAACGGGUGAGUAACACGUGGGUGACCUGCCCUCAGCUCUGGGAUAAGCCUGGGAAACUGGGUCUAAUACUGGAUAUGACUCCACGGUGCAUGUCGUGGGGUGGAAAGCCUUGUGCGGCUGAGGAUGGGCCCGCGGCCUAUCAGCUUGUUGGUGGGGUGAUGGCCUACCAAGCGACGACGGGUAGCCGGCCUGAGAGGGCGACCGGCCACACUGGGACUGAGAUACGGCCCAGACUCCUACGGGAGGCAGCAGUGGGGAAUCUUGCGCAAUGGGCGAAAGCCUGACGCAGCGACGCCGCGUGAGGGAUGACGGCCU